rnacentral:lncRNA from 1 species
AUAUUGCUGAACAAUCUAAAAGUCUUCAAACAGUAGAUUUUACAGAAAUAAAGGAUAAGGAUGAAUUGGAUAUGCAUUCUUACGGACUUAGACUAGUUGAUCCUAUUUUGUUGAAGAAAAAUCAUCAUUAUUACGUUAAAAUAAAAACGAAUGAACCCGUUACCGUAUGCGAUCAGUAUGUUGAACGGGAUAAAUUAUAUAAUUUAUCCUUCAUGGGUAUAACUUUUAUAGGUGAUAAUAAUUGUCAUAUGCGUGAUAUCGUUGUCUCCUUGGCAGCCGAAAAUAAUUCUAAUAACAAACAAGAAAACUGAAAAACCAAUUAUAAAGCAUGUAACAUUUCGUUUUAAUAAAGUAAUUAAAGUAACC